GACGAACGCUGGGCGGCGUGGAUUAGGCAUGCAAGUCGAACGGUAGGAUACCUUCGGGUAUCUGAGAGUGGCGAACGGGUGAGUAACACGUAGGUGAUCUACCCUCAAGAUUGGGACAACCCAGGGAAACUUGGGCUAAUACCGGAUGAAAGCAGCAGUGAUGUUGUUUGAAAGGUGGCGUAAGCUGCCGUUUGGGGAUGAGCCUGCGCUCUAUUAGUUAGUUGGCGGGGUAAAGGCCCACCAAGGCGAUGAUAGAUAGGCGGCCUUAACGGGUGGUCGCCCACACUGGGAUUGAGAUACGGCCCAGACUCCUACGGGAGGCAGCAGUCGAGAAUAGUCUGCAAUGGCCGAAAGGCUGAUAGUGCGACGCCGCGUGAACGAAGAAGCCCUUCGGGGUGUAAAGUUCUUUUAUAUGUGAGCAGUGCUUUCUAUGUGAACAGCAUGGGGAGAGAGAUAUUAGCAUAUGAAUAAGCAACGGCUAACUCCGUG
rnacentral:rRNA from 1 species